GAGCUAAUGUAUAAAUGUAUUUGGUUACACAGUACAAGUUUGACAAGGGUUAAGUGUUCAAUCCGAUUAUUAUUUUCAUGAUGAUAAAUAUUAAUGUUAUUAUAAACACUUUUAAGUAACAUUCAAUUAGAUAAAAUUCAAAGUGAUUUGAAACACAUAAAUUUCUUUGCCCCCAUUUCUCUUAAUCCUCCAGGGCUUUGCUAGGCUCUACCCUCAGGCAAAAAUAUCUUUUGCUUUGAAGUUCAUUUUAUUUCAUUAUACCUCCCUGGAUUUAUUAGUGUGGCCUAUUAAUGUUUAGGUUAUUUAUUUUCAUUUAUUAAGGCCUUUCUAUAAGAUAUUCUCUUUCUUCUUUAACUUCUUUCCAGAAUUCCUAAUGUCUGCAGAAUGGACAAAGGCUAACCCAUCCUCAAUCCUGGAUUCCUCUUUAAAACAGUGCAGCAAAAGAGAAGGGGUUGAAUUCCCUCUUGAAAAAUACUUCUAUCAGAUUCUACUUCUAACCUUUCACUCUGCAAGUGUUUCAAGCCAGUCCAAGAAACAGAUGGGACAGAUGCCAGAAUGAUGUGUGCCAUUCCUUACCCAUUAUUUCCACUAGGCUGAAUAUUUAACAUCUCAAAAUGCCAAGUCUAAUAUAUUCCCUAAUAUUCCCCAUUGCAAACAUGGUCAACCUAUAGUCCUUACAAUGAACUAUAAGUAAAUGACUGUUCCAUCCUUAUAGCUAAGACAAUGAACUUUGAACUUAUCUUUGCCUUUCCCCCUUUCUCUUACUACAUGCAAUUGUUUCAUUAGCAGUUCUAUUGGUUAUAUGUUCUAUCAGGUAUACAGCUAAUUCUUGACAAACCAUUGUGACCAAUGGUCUCUUACACUUUAACUUUAUUUAUGAUAUCUGAUACCUAUUUUCCUAAUAGUCUAUUUUAAUUUCUUUCUUUUUUGUUAUUUAAGUUAUCACUAUUCUAUACUAAAC
rnacentral:lncRNA from 1 species